AGAUUCUAUUCUGUUUUGGAGGAAGGGUUGGACUUGAUUCUAUGAGGCACUGAGGAAGAGACCAGAGGAUGAGACGCGUGGUGAAAAGGCUAUGGUGCUACAAAAACAUAUAUGAAGCCAGUAUACCCUCAAGUAUACCUGCUAUUUCUCCAAAUACCACAUCUGGUAGCAUAAACCUAAAGACCCAUGGUAUCUACAUCCUAGUCCCUGGGACCGGGGAAUGUUAUCUUUUACGCUGUUGCAGAGAUGAAGUGAUUUGGCUAAGAAUAGUGUCAAGGGAUGAGAACUGAAGCAGUGGAAUCAAAAAAAUUACUCAUAUUUUAGACUACAACAAACAUGCAAUAAAGGAUACAAUUGUCAGGAAAGCCCCAAUGGAAGAUG
rnacentral:lncRNA from 1 species